rnacentral:lncRNA from 1 species
AGUGGUGGAGCCACGCAGAAUCUGUCGCAGGAGGUGGAGCAGAGUCGUGGCCAUUACUGUGGCCUGUCAGGGAGUCCAGGCCUGUCGGUCAAAGCUCGGUCGAAGCGCCUGGCGGAGAGAGGUAGCUAUCCAUCUGAGAGGAGCUCGGAUGUUACUGGUGAGCCUUCUACCGUUGGGUGCCUUGAGCGUUAACACUACAGACGAGGGU